rnacentral:lncRNA from 1 species
UUCCCUCUGCCCCUUUAAGGGAAAUGGAGGUGGGUACCCAGCUGACUGAACCUAGUCACACCUCCAGAAAUUAGACACCAGGGCACAGUGCCACCCUCCCAGGCUGGCACAUGCUACCCUGGCAGAGGUUCAAAUAGCAGCCCCCCUUCAUCCUCCCACCCCUAUGUCUUCCUCUUCUCUCUCCCUCUUUCUCCCUCUCUCUUUCUCUGUGUUUUUUUUUUUUUUUUUUUUCUCAGCUCAAAGCACAGCUGAGCCUUAAAAGGAGGGGGGGAGACCAAGCUGGGGCAGGGGGGUGGAGAGCUCCAAUAGCACGUUUUCACCUGCCAUUUAAUUGGAUGUAUUUUUAAUUAAUGGGACCUCAGGGACCAACAUGAGACAAUCUGAUCUCUGAAUAGGGACAGGGGAGGGAUUGGGUAAGGGAGGAGGAUUGGGCCACUGGGUGCGGUUACCAGGAACCCAGGCCCAUCAAUCACUGGCCACUUUGCGUUCUGGCAAGGAGAAUUGUAAGGUGGAGGAGGAGGGGAGGUCCUGGGGAGAGUUGCCAGGACUUCCCCCCAACUGCUAGGACCUCCAAAAAGCAUAGAAUAGUAUCGGCUGAUUUGGGUCUGAGGUGCAAAAUUGCAGCCAGGUUAUUAGGUAAGGCUAUUUUCUUGCUCCUGGGAUCUUUUCCAGUUGGGCUUGUCCCAGUGAGUAAUGUAAAACUGUGAAAGGAAAGUAGGGACAGAACUUUGAGGUCCUUGAAGAGAGAUGGCAAGAGAAAGGGACCACAGAACCAGGGACUGUAGUGAGAGGUUCAGAGAUAUAUCUGUACAUUUAGACAUAAGUGAAGCACCCUGGACGUUACUUGAGGCCUGGUGCCAUUGGGGUGUGACUCAUAGGAUCAUACUGCUGCAAGGAAGAGAACUUGGAGCUCAUCUUGCCAAACCUUUCACUUUACAGAUGUGGAAAUGGAGACUGAGAGGGGAAAUCAGUUCCUGGAUUUGGAGAGUUCCUGGGACCACAAGGAAAGGUAGGUAGGUAGGUAGGCAGGUAGGUAGAAUGUGGGGAGGAAAGUCAAGGGAAGAGGGUUGGCACGAUUAUUAUUGGAGUCUCUUAUCUCUGGCCUCCAAGUCUUAGAAGCAACUAAAGGGCAUUAGGCAGGUGCAUUAUUGGGGGAACAUUUCUCUCAUACAGGUCCAGAGGUCACCUCAUCCAUUCCCUUGCUCCCAAGCAGACAGAUCCCCAAGAGUCCAUCACUCUCAUGGGAUUUUACUAUACUAUACCCUGUAAAGUCCACAGGGAAGGUACCAACUGUCCCAGUUCCUUAAUCAAAAAAUAAAUCUCCAGGGGCGCCUGGGUGGCGCAGUCGGUUAAGCAUCCGACUUCAGCCAGGUCACGAUCUCACGGUCCGUGAGUUCGAGCCCCGCGUCAGGCUCUGGGCUGAUGGCUCGGAGCCUGGAGCCUGUUUCCAAUUCUGUGUCUCCCUCUCUCUCUGCCCCUCCCCCGUUCAUGCUCUGUCUCUCUCUGUCCCAAAAAUAAAAAUUAAAAAAAAAAAAAAAGUUGAAGAAAAAAUAAAUCUCCAAAAGGUGACUAAAUGUUGAGCUUUUUUUUUUUUUUUAAGAUUUUUAUCACAAGUUUCCCUGUCACAGUCUAAACUACUAGACAAAAUUAUGCCCAGAAAUGUAGAGAGUAGCCUUAUAUCUCUUGUCCCAUGUCUAGGCCUAAAACAGAGACAGGGUUAAAACUCAAGGCUCUGGAAGCCAAGUCACAAAUACCCCUGCAUUUCAUGCAGUGUCAUGGCCUCAGAGCAUUUAGUCAAGCCCUAUAUGGCUUUGUGUGGGGUUGGUGCAUAAUGGAGAGAAGGGCAAGGCAUGUUUCCAACUUUCCACAACACUCCUGCUCCCUCCUUCCUUUACUGUUCAGACACUAGGGUUAAGGAGGGAAUGAAUGAAGGAGAAAAGGGGCUUUCUCACUAGGUUGCCAAAAGUGGCAUUUCCUGGCAUCUUCUUCCUUCCUCAAAAAAUUCAAGAUUCUGUGUUCUGUGCUUCAGGAGACUAAGUUGGAGUCAGGGCAAAGAUGGGAGAUCUUGGAAAGCAGCAUGAGUAGAAACUUCCUCACACUCUCUAAGCCCCCAACACCUUUCCCCCACUCCCAGAAUUGUCUUCUCUAUCUUAGUAUCCCAUUUUAUAUCCCCAGAGUCCUUGAGGAAGAGCAGAAUGUGCCUCUCUAAGUGCCCCACACUCACCGCCCUUAUUUGUAGACCUUCAGGGUCAUCUCCUUGGUUCUCUCAUUCUCUGCCUUCUCUACAAACAGUAAGUGAGAAGGACCCUUCGCAUCCCCCCAAGACAGUCUGGAAAGAAUCCAUCAAGCUCUUCCUCUACUUCCAAGGGCCCAUAGUAGUGAGAACUGGGAGAACUGUGCCAGGGAAUUGAAGAGGAUAAUUCUCUUGUCUGGGAAAGUCAGGGAGAAGACAGAGAGGGGAAAUUUGGGAACUGAGGCCUAUAGUCCCAUCUGUGGGGCUGACUGCCUAACCUAGAGGAGUGGUGUUCAUAUUGAAUAUUAUUCAUGAGAUUUAUUAGAGGCUCCUGUUUACAGAGCUGCUCUUUCUCUUUUGAAACAGAGCAGUGGAGAAGAACAGCAAAGAAGGAGCAGAAAGGGGGUCAGGCUUUCGGUAGGCCCUUUCUCAACCCUUGUACAGCCCCGGUCCAACAUUAGAGGCAUAGUGGAGGGUCCAAAAGGCCCUGAAAGCAUUCAGUCUAGAUUCUGGAUGUUUCUCUAAGGAAUGAGGCUUCCAUUCCCGUAGUCCCCACCAGCCCUCCCAAGGUUUAGGCAAGGAGAUCUACAGCCCCAGAGUCAGAGCCUGGAGUCUAGAGGCCACAAGGAAUGCUGAGUCUUUGCUGGGAAAGAAGAGUAGACUUGAAGUGAGUGGGAGGCAGAGGUAGCAGAAUCCCCUGCACUUUGGAGAAAAACAAGCUCAGUAUUAGCCCAGGGUUUAGCUUUUACUCUGAUGGGACUCCGCCUUUCCUCCUUCUCCCUCAGUAUGUCCCAUGGGUUGGUAAGACAUCUAGAUGUCUGAACCUCCCACCUGACACCUCGAAGGUUGUUAUAGCCCCUCUUUAGCUCCCAAAGCCAUGGGGGAGGGGAAGGAAGGUGCCUCAGAGGUGGCAGUGCUGUGAUGUCCAUCAGCACCCAGGGAGAGAGGCCAAGGGGAAUAAACAGUAACCAGAGAGGGAGCUAGGAGGAGAUGCCUGGUCUUGAAACAGCCUCCUUAUCCUAUCCUCUCCUGCACCCUCUCUCACAUGCUGACAAGGCUGUGUGCCCAAGUGUGCCAGCUCUUCUGGUUGGUGGUUCUGCUCUGCCAUGCAGGCAGCCGGCUCUCUGCUCUGGCACAGAACACAUGCUGGGGUCUCUCACACUUCUUUGCUCACUCAUUUCAAUGUGUCUGCGUUACAGAUUCCUAGGGAUGAAAGAAAAGGCUGUGGCCCUGUGAGGUGGUGGGCUUGGGGCCCUUUGGGUGCAUAUCUGCCUUGCUGCAGGGCAAGGAGGGAGAAGGCUGCUGGCAGCUCAGCUGAGCUCAAGGUUCUGGUGACUCAUAGCAAUGGGGGCAGCUUAUGAAAACAAAAGAGGGGAAGAGGCUUCAGGCUUGUUAGAGCUCUCUUUUGCCCCAAUUCUCUCCCACUCUGAGCUGUGUGGAUAAAGGUCUCUCAUAUGGAUUGUGGGUCAAGGAGAGGCCCCAGCUACGAAAGAAUAGAGGGAAAUGGGAGAGAAGAGAUCAGGGAAGGCUGAGCAUUCCCAGAAAGAGGCUUCCCAGUGAGAAAAGGAUACGAGAGGCUAGGCUAGUAGUAUACAAUUGUAUCCUUUGGGGCUGCACAAAGGGUACUGGGCAUUCACAUGUGCAGACAGACACAGCCACUCCUCCCUGGAAGGAUUGCCACAGUCUCAGUUCUCUCUUCCCUGGAAACAGACACCAUAGAUCUUCAAAGGCGCUGAUUCCUUUAUCUCUUACAGGCCAGGUGGGCAAUGUGCAUUCUCUCCAUCCUUUCUGAAUCAGGGGGAUGAUAGGAUAUUGUGUUUGAGACCACAUCAGCAGAAAGUGGCCAGAAGGUGGACCAGGGGAACCAUUCAGGCCUCUGACCACAGUCCCAGGGGCCUCCUUGUUUCAGCAAAUGGAAACAGAGAUCUUUGAUACUAGUAUCCAGAUAAUAAUACCUUCCCUCUAACCUCAGUGAAGGAUGGGCUAAGAGGAGGAGAAUUCUCUGGCAGAGCCCAUUUUCAUUUGCCUGUUUCGUUGCUGGUGGCUUUGCUCUCCAGCUGGGGUGAGGGACUCUCUGCUGGGCUGCUUCUGGAGAUCCAGAGAUGGUUUUGGUUGGAGAAAGAGACCAGCCGCUCUUUGCUCUUUGCUCUUCCUGCAGGGAGUUGGGACCAUCUCUACUCCCCCAGCUCUCCCUGGCAGCAUCAGGAACCCAGGGCCUCCUGCUGGAAUACCCAUAAUAAAGCUCAGUCUUGAACUGAACCAACACAUCACCUGGCUCUGGUAUAGAAAUGGUGCUGUGAGGGGGAGCCUGGGUGUACCAGGUGGGUGUAGGCAGGUGUGGGGAGUUUAGGCCCAGGAGAGAUAUUAGAAUCACUCCUCAAUACCACAUGUUUCUCCUCUUUCUCAAACUUUCUGCUUGGCCUCCCUUUUCUUCUGUCUCCCUUCAGCUAUCUCCACUCCUGGCCAACUCAUCCCUUCCAAUCUGAGAAGAUAUGGUAAGUAGUGGCCUGUUCCCUACACUUUUCUUUCUCUUCCUCUACUCCCAACUCCCAGCCAAGAGUUACCCCAUUUGAACUCUUUGCACCAGUGAAUGCCAUCAGGGUCUGAACCCAGAAUCCCCAGCCUCUGCAACCCCCCUGACUUGAGAAUGCCACUCUGACUCUGAGACUGACUCUUUCGUGCUCAUCCUCCCCACAAGGAUAGCCAGGCCAAGACUGGUAUGUCCACUGACAGUAAGAGCCCUGACCUGAGGCAGAGGGCAGCUCUGAGGGUGCAGUGGGGCUCGGCCCUAAAUGCGUGUAUGCCUGUGCAUUGGGCACACUGGUUUAUUAGUGUUAUUUCAGCAUUGUGAUGCAGAGAGAGUAAGUGUAACAGCUGCUCCUUGCUUGCAGUGUUUAUUGUUACCUAGAGACAACCUCCUGGCUUUUUCCCAGCUCCCCCCCCCCAGCCCAACCCCCUCCCUGCCAACAGUCCUACUCUCCCCACACUGAUGGGAAAUUUAUAGCUUGCCCAUACCAUGCCUUUAACCCUCUCCUGUCCAUAGGGUAAGUGAAGUGAGGGAAGCCAAAGUGAGCAGUGGGCAUGCUUGGGCCCCAGCAGGGUAGAGUGGUGUACAGAGGAGAGAGGGAGGGAUGGAAGGAUGUUCAAAGUCAGGCUCCAGUUACCCUCCUGGCUCUCAUGUUGAGAUAAAAGAGCUUUGGCCCUAGCCUUGAGAUCCUAGCAUCCUCCUCACAAGAUAAUUCUCUUCCCUGGGCGUCUCUAAGCACCCCGAGUUGGGCUGCCUGAUCCUGAGCAAGCACAGUGAGGUAGUAUUGAGACAGGAGUAAAUAUAGAGUGGCAGAACCCCCAGCCCUCUCCUUUCUAUAGAGAUGUCAUAUUGAGACUAACCAGAGACUCUGGCAUGAGGAAUGGUGGCCAGACCUCCCCAGCUAGAUACAUGUCAAACAUAAACCUGGCUGCUGAGUCUGGUGGGAAAAAUUGCCCACCUUAACUUUACACCUAACCCAGCACUAAGGUCCCAAGAGACUCCUAAGCCAUUCUCUAUGCUGGUCUCCUUGGUCUGGUUAGGCUACUCUUUUCUACUCUUCUUCUUGAUCCAUUUUUUUCCUGUUUAUCUUUUGGUUUGGUACCUUGGAUCAAAUCCAAGACACCAAGGGGACUGAGACAUCUUAGUCACGGGCUCAACAGAACUAGGGAAAGAGAAGUUCCUCCAGCCUCUCCUGACCUAGGACCUUUCAUGGAAGGGCACCAUGUCAUAUAUUCACUGUCCCUACUGGAAAUGAGGGUUUGAAGAGGGAUUAGAUUUUAGCAAAAAAGAUAGAAGUUAGACAUAGGGAAAAACUUAUUCAUGAGAUAAAACUUCAGAAUGGGCCUACUUCAGAGAUUUUUUUUUUUUUUCUGCAUGGGAUGAGUUUAAGUCUGUGCCUACCCAAGGGGAAUUGAAAAAACAGGAUUACUUUUCAGUGGCUUCUCCAGAUGUGGGCCUCAAUGCAAUUUCUACACUAGCUCUGGGAGUGCAUUCCUUCUCAGUCCUUCUAAAUGUAGUAUGUGAUGGUUAGAUCACAAGUUUGGGAGGCAGACAGCCUUGGGUUCCAGCACCAGCACUGCCAUUUACCAACUGUGCUCCCUUAGUAAGUCACUUAACCUCUCUGUGCCCUAGUUUCCUUGUCUGUGAAAUUCAGAUAUACCACCUCUUAAGGUUAUGAGUGUAUUUAGUGAAAUAAUAUAUGUAAAGCACCUAGGACACUGCCUGGUACUCAGUAGGUAUGCAGUGGUUGAUAACAAUAAUCUAUUACUUUUGUGGAGUCAACAGGGCUGACGUUGCUUCAAAGACUUUAUGAGUCUUUGAAAUUAUAGACCAAAUAUGUGAAUAUGGGUAUGCUGGGAACAAUGUCCAUGAUUGUCCUCAUGAUGCGGAGCAGGAAGUGGCAGUCUCCUGGAAAGGAAGUAGCCCCAAUCCCUUGACUCAGACUUCCCCAUUCCCAUGCCUCAAGCCAGGAGCACAUUAGGCAGUGUUCUACCUGGAAGUAUAUCUUCAUCAUCUAAGAUGGAGCUGUGAGAGACAGCCAUUAGGGUAGCAACUUCUGGCAUUUGCCAGGCACUUUACAGUUUGUCCAGUAUAUUUACCUACGUUAGCUCUUUUACUUUUUUUUUUUUAAGUUUAUUUAUUUUGAGAGAGUGAGAGAGAGCCAGCAGGGGAGAGGCAGAGAGAGAGAGGGAGAGAGAGAAUCCCAAGCAGGUUCUGCAUUGUCAGCACAGAGCCUGACAUAGGGCUUGAACUCACAAUCCACGAGAUCAUGACCUGAGCUGAAGUCAAGAGUUGGACACUUAACUGACUGAGCCACCCAGGUGCCCCUACAUUAGCUUUUUUAAUACCCAGAAUAUCCCAGUAAAGUGAAAAGAACUACCAUUUAUUGAGUGCCUACUAUGUGUCAGGCAUUGUGCUGGGUGUAUUUUUUUUAAGUAUGUUUAAAAAAUUUUUUUAAUGUUUAUUUAUUUGAGGGAGAGAGAGAGAAAGAAAGAGAGAAGGAGCAUGAGCAGGGGAGGGGCAGAGAGAGAGGGAGGCAGAGGAUCCUAAGCGGGCUCCAUGCUGACAGCAGACAGCCUGAUGCAACGCUCGAACUCAUGAACUGAGAGAUCAUGGCCUGAGCCAAAGUCAGAUGCUUAACCAAUGGAGCCACCCAGGUGACCCUUUUUAAGUAUGUUUAAAGUCUUUAGAAUAUUUCAUCACCUAAAUAUGUCAUGAUUUACAAGGGUCAUCCCUACUU